rnacentral:lncRNA from 10 species
CAACGGGGAGGGGCGGAAGGCGCCACCCCGCGGAGGAGGCCCCAGUGCCACAGCCCAGGGCCCCCGAGAGCUCUGGGAGCCCGGGGCAAAUGCUAGAAAUUUGCUUAGAACGUCCGGGUCCCACGGAAGGCGCCCUUGCCGCCCUCUCUCGGGUCGUAGCUCCCUGACGCUGGGGCGCAACCCCUUCGCUCCUCCUCCCCGCUGGCCGCGGCCGGGCUUCCCCAGCUCUUGCUGCUUCGGGCCUGUGACUUCUGCAACCCCGGGCUGGGGGCCGCGGGGUCUCAGGGCCGGUGACGCCGCACUGGGAGCCGCCCCAAAGAGGUGCAAAACAAUGAAUUCCAAGCCUCGGAAGCAAAGAAGCUUAGGAUCCGACGGUGGCCGCAAGAUCUCAUCAUGGAUCUGACCCCUGCUCAGCGCGCGCCAUUUCGUCGUUGCCAAACGAAAUCAAGCCCCGCGUGCGCUCCAGGGGCGAAGGACUCUGGACUCACCCCGACCACCGGGAGAGCUGGCCCCUACCCACCUCGGGACCUCACAGCACGCCCUCAGGCCGUGUCGAAAGGAAGGACGGCAAAGGUCCCUUACUGAACCUUUUAAGAGAGCCUGCGCCUGGCAGUUGUCGAUUGCGGACCCAGGCCCGCGCGCCCUCGGACGCGCUGGCACGAGCAGCAGAACUAGAGGAAAGCGAGUGAUCCAGCCUGGGCGCUCCCACCUCCGGGAACGUCUCCGAGAAGGCGCAGCGCGUCGUGGCCAGUGAGAAGGGCUGAAUAUCACCUGUGAGCCUGCCCCUGCUCCCAAGAACACCCUUUGGACACCUGUGGGCUCUGCAAGGUUGGUGUAACCCCUACAGAUGAGGAAACCAGAGACAGAGAAGUGAAGUAACUCAUGCAGGUGACGGCAGAGGGCAGAGUCAGGACUUGAACCUGGAGAGCCUGGCUCUAAAGCCCAAGCUGGAAUCUCGAUACUCUACACCUCGAUAAGUUUUUGGGAAAUGACUGACUAAACAGAUGAACGCGUUUGCCCCCCCGCCGCCCCAGAGCCCCCUUAAAGCCUACAUGUGGCAGUUUGGGCCCAUUUCCUUGGCUUCCCUCCCUGGAGGGGCACCCACUGCCAGUGUCCCUGCUGAAAUUUAGCAUCAUAUUCCAUGGCGAUUUUCCACCAGUGGAAAUCACAGGUGUUCUCUGGUAUCACAGCGGGGUCAGGGAUGACCUGAAAUAUUGUUCAUGCUCAUCACAACUGCAUGGCCCACCGCGGGGUCUUGUCACUCAGUGAGUUCUUGAAGAGGCACAGACAAAUGGAGUUCAACAAAUGGAAAACAACUGCCUUUAAUUAGCUCCGAGGACUACAAAGGGAACAACGUUAUAAUAGCAGCAACUCCAAGGAAGCAGCCACAGCUCUCAGCUCUCAGACCUGGGGCUGCCGCUCAUCAUCAGCUACAGCUAGGUUUGAUGGGAGUGCCCCCAUUUCAGGGGACAGCAGGCCCCCUUCACUCCCCGACUCAGUCCCCAUCUGCAGCAGCACAGCCUUCCUUGGCCUCACCAGGGAAGAAGAACAGGCCCCGCUCUCAGACAAGCCUUCCCAGAAGCCUGAGGACUCAAACACCCAAAUGUGUCUGGGUCCCUGCCCCGAGCCGGCCACCCAGGCAGCAGCCCUGAAUCACUCGGUCAGCCAGCGGCAGGGCAGGCCAAUGGGCUGGAGGGUAGGCAGGCAGGCAGACCCACCUCUGCAUCUCUGCUGACUGCCUCGGCUGAGGAAAGGCAGCACCAGCCCCCAACCCUGAAGUUCUAGAUCUCAUGCAGCCUCUCUGUUCUGGAACCAUCCAGAGGCACUGCCCUUAUACAUGGUCCACCCCCAGGCUCAGACAAUGAGAAUUCCACAAGCAGAGGGGACUCUAUUUGGGGCACAGAGAGGUUAAGUAACUCCCCUCCUAAGGUCUCUCAGCAAGGAAGCCACUGAGCCGUGGGACUUGAGCUCAGGGACUCUUGAUCCCCAGUCUCAGGUGUCACAGCCCCAUCUGGGCUCCUGCUAGGGAGGAGGAAGGCAGCAGGGGGUGUCUGAGGCCAGGGUGCAUCAGCCCUAAAUGCCAGACAGAGGCAGGAGAAGUCUCCCCAUGAGUCCCAGCCCCAUUAGAGGCUCCAGGUCGGGGAUCCCAGACCCCCUAUCCUUGCUGGGAGACACAACCCAGAACUCUGCAUCCCUGCAGCCACCAAAAAAGGCAAAAGCUGCCCAGAAACACUUUCUCCUCUUCCGUGGCCAAAUCCACGAACUUUCUCGAGGUCUGUCCCCCUGCCCCGUGCAGGUCCAGCUUCAGUGCAGCCCAGCUCUGUGCAGUUUUCCACAAAAGCCUGUGGCUUCCUUCUCCUCCCUCUGCUUCUGAUACCCCAGGAGUUACACACAAAAUGUUGGCGGUGGUCUCCAGGAAGACCCCUGCAUCCCACAGCUCUCCCCAGAAGUUGCCAGCAGUGACCUCCUGAGCCCAGGUGGGGAGUCCCAGGCAGGACAGGGGCUGGGGCUGCAGGCCCUGGGGCCCUGUUAGUGAAGCAGCAAGCCGAGGGUCCCUGAGAGUUUCCCUUGGCCCCUCUGAGGGCUGCCCUUUGAGGUCUUGAGGUCUUGGAGUAUCCAUCGCCCCCACGGCUUACUGUCCCCACCAGCGGAGGAUGAAAGUGCCACAGCGAUGUUCCACGCCAAGAGACCACAGAGACCACCAACCCCUCUUCCCACCUCAGGCUUUCAGAGGCCAGCGGAUUUAGGCGGACAGGCUGUGCGCUUGAGGGCAGCCAGGGCGGUCAGUGGAGGGACGUGGUCCGGGGCCUGGCCACAGCUCCCCACCCAGGGCCCUGGGCUAUUGUUACUCACCGCGGAUGAAGGUCGGCGAGUAGGUCGGGAAGGAGUCGAAGAUGCUGUUCGAUGCCAUGCCCCGCUCUGAAGAAGGCCAGGCUGCGAGGCCCAGGGUGGUGACGC